rnacentral:rRNA from 1 species
GACGAACGCUGGCGGCGUGCUUAACACAUGCAAGUCGAACGGAAAGGCCCUGCUUGCAGGGUACUCGAGUGGCGAACGGGUGAGUAACACGUGGGUGAUCUGCCCUGCACUUCGGGAUAAGCCUGGGAAACUGGGUCUAAUACCGGAAAGGAGCCAUUUUUAGUGUGAUGGUUGGAAAGUUUUUUCGGUGUAGGAUGAGCUCGCGGCCUAUCAGCUUGUUGGUGGGGUAAUGGCCUACCAAGGCGGCGACGGGUAGCCGGCCUGAGAGGGUGGACGGCCACAUUGGGACUGAGAUACGGCCCAGACUCCUACGGGAGGCAGCAGUGGGGAAUAUUGCACAAUGGGCGCAAGCCUGAUGCAGCGACGCCGCGUGGGGGAUGACGGCCUUCGGGUUGUAAACUCCUUUCGCUAGGGACGAAGCUUUUUGUGACGGUACCUAGAUAAGAAGCACCGGCUAACUACGUG